GACGUAGGUGGCGAACGUUAUCCGGAAUUAUUGGGCGUAAAGAGCUCGUAGGCGGUUUGUCGCGUCUGCUGUGAAAACGCGAGGCUCAACCUCGCGCCUGCAGUGGGUACGGGCAGACUAGAGUGCGGUAGGGGAGAACGGAAUUCCUGGUGUAGCGGUGAAAUGCGCAGAUAUCAGGAGGAACACCGGUGGCGAAGGCGGUUCUCUGGGCAUUACCUGACGCUGAGGAGCGAAAGUGUGGGGAGCGAACAGG
rnacentral:rRNA from 1 species